UGUGUUUUGAUAUUGUAUAUUUAUUACAUCUACCAAAUAUGAAUCUCUCUAUUUCUUAUGGAAAUUUAAAUUAUAGUUAUUUCAUAGCUCUAUAGAACAGGUGUAGAAACUGACAGGACUGAAAUCUACACGUCCCAUUUAACAAUUGCUGGAAACCUACAGCAACCUAAAAAAAUCACUGACUUCACGAAAUAAUCAUGAUGAUGUCAGACUCAAAUUCCCAUAGGAGACGAUUUGGCGGUGUACUUUAACAGUAAUUUAGUGAAUUUUACUUACUUUUUGCAAUCAAUUUAUUAAUUUGUUACAAGAAAGAUGUAAAUAUAAACAUUAAAAUGCUUUCUUUGAUGAUUUAUGUGGGUUAUGAAGGUAGUGAUCAUUGCAGAAAAAAAUUAGAUAACCCGCGGUUAUGUAUUUUUUCUGCAAUGUCGCCAGAUUUACAUCCCACAUGAAUCACCAAAGUUUAAAUAUAUUGAAAAUGGUUCUUGUUGUUAAAGUGUUUUGGUUGGACUAGUUUCAUUUCAUUUUAAAUCCCUUUAAUUGUUUCAAAUAUCAUUUGAUUAAAAAGUGUCAAACACAUGCAUCCCCCAACUAAACAAUUCAAUUUUUUCUCUAAAAAAUAUAAUUAUGUAAAGUAAUACGCAAUUAUUUUGUGUUUGCUAUGGUUAAGAUUCAUACAUAACUAUCAUUAUGACACACGACUUUGAUAUAGGGAAAAUUCUAAUAUUUUUCACAGAAAUGUAUUGUUUAUACAUGACUGAUAGAAUGGUCUAUGUCACUAAUUAUUCUCUUAAUGAAAAGCCUUAAAGGCAUUGUUAAUAUCAUUAGUGCAUACUAUGUAGGUUGAAGAUUCAAUUUUAAUUUCAUUUUUUUGUCAUUUAGUUCCCGAGUUGUUUUGAUAAUAUUUCUCCAUAUGAAAAUAUGGAUGACUUUGAUAUCUCCUUUUUAAUUUUUGAAACACCAUUUUUUCAUGCACUGAAUCUCCUUUUAAUCUACAAUCCUUGAAGAAUUUCCUUUUGUUUAAAGAUCUUGAAGAAUUUUCAAGGUAUUUGUUUAAGUAAUGCACAAACUUUUUUUGGGGGGAUGGGGGGGCAUCAUGCACGAUCUGCAAGACCUCUGUGUAGAUUACAAUCUAUGGUUGGAAAGAUAAUCAAUGUGUCAGUAUGAUUACACCUGGAAAAAAUCUAUAAUAAAGUGUUAUAAUAAUUAGGUAUAAAACAUUUGAUGGUGAAGAAAUAAAGUUGAAACAAGU
rnacentral:sRNA from 1 species